rnacentral:rRNA from 1 species
GAUGAACGCUGGCGGCGUGCCUAAUACAUGCAAGUCGAACGCUGAAGGAAGGAGCUUGCUCUUUCCGGAUGAGUUGCGAACGGGUGAGUAACGCGUAGGUAACCUGCCUGGUAGCGGGGGAUAACUAUUGGAAACGAUAGCUAAUACCGCAUAACAGUAGAUGUUGCAUGAUAUCUACUUAAAAGGUGCAAUUGCACCACUACCAGAUGGACCUGCGUUGUAUUAGCUAGUUGGUGAGGUAACGGCUCACCAAGGCGACGAUACAUAGCCGACCUGAGAGGGUGAUCGGCCACACUGGGACUGAGACCCGGCCCAGACUCCUACGGGAGGCAGCAGUAGGGAAUCGUCGGCAAUGGACGGAAGUCUGACCGAGCAACGCCGCGUGAGUGAAGAAGGUUUUCGGAUCGUAAAGCUCGGUUGUAAGAGAAGAACGAGUGUGAGAGUGGAAAGUUCACACUGUGACGGUAUCUUACCAGAAAGGGACGGCUAACUACGUG